rnacentral:rRNA from 1 species
CCUACGAGUGGCAGCAGUGGGGGAUAUUGCACAAUGGGGGGAACCCUGAUGCAGCGACGCCGCGUGGGUGAAGAAGCGCCUCGGCGCGUAAAGCCCUGUCAGCAGGGAAGUAAAUGACGGUACCUGAAGAAGAAGCCCCGUCUAACUACGUGCCAGCAGCCGCGGUAGACGUAGGGGUCAAGCGUUAUCCGGAUGUACUGGGGUUAAAGGGGGCGCAGAUGGCGUUGCAAGCCAGGAGUGAAAGCCUGGGGCCCAACCCCGGGAAGGCUCUUGGCACUGCGUGGCUGGAGUGUAGGAGGGGCAGGCGGAAUGCCUGGUGUAGCGGUGAAAGGCGUAGAUAUCAGGAGGAACACCGGUGGCGAAGGCGGCCUGCUGGACUGCAACUGACGUUGAAGCCCGAAAGCGUGGGGAGCAAACAGGAGUAGAUACCCCGGUAGUC